UCUUCCAGCCAACCCACGUCUUCCACAAAAAUCUAUGUCUUCCACUGAAUCCAGGUCUUCCGGUAAAUCCACGUCUUCCAUCAAAUCCAUGUCUUCCAGAAAAUCCACGUCUUCCAAGAAAUACGUCUUCCAUCAAAUCCAUGUCUUCCAGAAAAUCCACGUCUUCCAAGAAGGGUGCGUCUUCCGGAAAAUCCACGUCUUCCAACAAAGGGUGCGUCUUCCGGAAAAUCCACGUCUUCCAACAAAGGGUGCGUCUUCCGGAAAAUCCACGUCUUCCAACAAAGGGUGCGUCUUCCGGAAAAUCCACGUCUUCCAACAAAGGGUGCGUCUUCCGGAAAAUCCACGUCUUCCAACAAAGGGUGCGUCUUCCGGAAAAUCCACGUCUUCCAACAAGGUGCGUCUUCCAACAAAGGGUGCGUCUUCCAGAAAAUCCAUGUCUUCCAACAGUGCCAUGUCUUCCAGAAAAUCCAUGUCUUCCUACACCUCCAGGUCUUCCAGCAUCUCCAGGGCUUCCAGCAUCUGCUCGUCUUCCAGCAUCUCCUCGUCUUCCAGCAUCUCCUCGUCUUCCAGCAUCUCCACGUCUUCCAGCAUCUUCAUGUCUUCCAACAACAACUCAGUCUUCCAAAAGUAGGCUCAAUAUCCACGUCUUCCAAUGUCUCCAGUGUACUGGUCUUCUAACAUUCAGGUCUUCUGGUGUCUACGAUAUCCAGGUCCCCAGUGCCACAGGCCCCUAACAGGAAGGCAGGGCUGGACUCUUGGCCCAGAUUGGGGGCAGUGAUGACAGGAGCAAAAGCAACAAUAGUGAUGGCAGUGGCUGUGGAUCAGGAGGAGAGAUUGGACUGCACAUGGGGUAAGUGCUGGGACCCAAGGUGGCAGAUUGUCUUUCCCGUCUGUCCCCAGAGCCUGUUCCUGUAGUGUAUGUACAAUUAUUAACUCUCUGGCCUGAAUGCCAAGACAGGAGCUGCCUGUGCUCAAGCAGUGCAUUUGUUAGUAAAUUAUAAAAAUAAAAA
rnacentral:lncRNA from 9 species